AGGUGGCACACAUGGUGUGGACAUAAGUGUAUGCUUGGCUGAGAAUUCCGUCGGGUGCUGGGACAAAUUCGGUGGGAAGUAGACUGCAAAAUAAUAGAGAUGCUAAACUAUUUGAUGAUAGAGACAUUUUGGUAGCAAACUGACCGAAGAAAUAAAAGAGGAGUCGUUCAAGUGGUGUCGAUAGAGAUUAAAGGUAUCAAGUGUGUCUUGGUGUGAAUGAGGGCUAUUUCAUUUAGCAAUUUAGAAUCAUGUUCUGUAACAUCAAGUAGUGCAUUUGAGUUUUUUUUAUAGUAUUUGUUGUCUCUGUAAUAUCGGUCGCUUAGCAUCUUGCUAUGUGGCCGGUUUAUGGGUAAUAAAAUGUUCCGUUUUGAGUA